rnacentral:lncRNA from 1 species
UGCUGUUUGCCCGUCAAGAUGAACAGCGGUUGCUAGGUUGUGGAUCGAAGGAUCUAGCUAAUGACGUUGCAUCGUUAGCGUGGACGGGCACCCGUGCAUGAGUCUGAACACAUACUUGCUGCCUGAACAAACAGCAGUGGCUGCUAGCUUACAAGUGGACAGAAGGGUCUAGCUAGUGACGUGACAUGCGCAAGCGUGUGCGGACACCCGUGCAUGAGUCUGAACACUUGGCUGCUGCCCACCGGAACAAUGGUGCUGUAAUGGACUUGGAAGUCUUGCGAUUGGUUCCUCGCCCAAAAGGUUCUGGGACAACCGUAGUGCCGAUGGGGACUGGGAGUCAUGCACAGCUUGAUUUGUCAGCCUGUAACAUGCUGGCCAGAGUGCGGAGGUACCGUGCACGUCGGGUUGCUGGUAGACCCGCGGAGUCCUCUCCUUGAAAGAUGCCGUGAAAGCUUAGGCCAAACAGACUGCAAUCCACGCGGGCGGGG